rnacentral:lncRNA from 1 species
AGAGACAUGCCCUGUCUAGGCAGCUACAGAAAGUCUCACUCCUGUUUCCCUUCUCUCUGUAUCCAGUGGCUGCCCAGCUCCUCCCCCCUCCUGUUGUCCAAGAAUAUAUCAAAACUUGGUCAGCAGUGGCUGGGAGAAGGAAGAAGGCCCAGAAAGUCUGAGUUGAGUUUAUGAAAGUUUUCCACUAAAGUCAGCAACAGCUUAAAUUCAAACCAGGCCCAAGCCGUUCAGUCUCCAUAUGAGUUGUUCAUCAAAGGACCAAAGAGAAGAAAUCUGAGCCUGGAGCAGAGGCUGGCUUAAAGGCUUCCAAGUGAUUCCUUCUGGUUUACCAUGACAUUUGCCAUUAAAACCAAGAUGUGAACGGAGGUCAGAUAUAUAAUCUCAGCCCUUGUGUGGUAAGAAUGGGAAGGACAAGAGAUCAAGGCCAUCCUCAACUAGUUCGUGACUGUAAGUCCAGCCUGGGCUACAUGGGUUUCAGAAAAACUAAACGGAGGAAUAGAAAGGAUGAGAAAAAGGUGUCAAAAACCACUCAGAGGCAAGAGGCAAAAACCAGGAUUAGUACAGGCAAGGAGCAAAGGUGCUUUUGUGGUACUGUAGCAAAGUCCAAGUUUCCUAAUCAAGGACCCAUGGUGUGAGUAUUAGAAAAUAAUAUGUGUGAAUGUAUUGGGUUAUCAUUUGUGUUUGCAUUUCAUGUGAUCAGGUAUGUGUGUGUUGGAUAAUCAUGUGUAUAUAUUGGAUAAUCACACAUGUGUGUAUUGGGUGGUCACAUGUAUGUGUAUGGGAUGAUCAUAAGCUAAGAUCGCUGACUUAACAAACAACCUGGAAGCCCCAGAAACAUGGGUGAAAGAUGCUCAGUGCAACAGCAGAGAGGAGAUGACAUCCCUUUUACAACUGCCUAGGACCAGAGUUCCAGAACCCACAGGAACCCUUUUUCUUUUGUUUGCCUCUCUUCUCUUCCUCCAGUAUUGGAACGCUUGCCACUGUUCAUGCUUCUGAUUGGCCACGGCAAUGACUGUUACAGAUAGAGGUGUCAUUUGUCCCUGACAUCUGUCAUAUGUCACCAGGGAUUAUAAAAAAACAUUAAAAAUGCCAAGGAUAUAGCUCAGUCGGUAUAUUGCUCACAUAGCAUGCAUGAAGCCCUGGGUUUGAUGUCCUCACCAACAAAGGGGGAUGUGGUAAUGCCUGUCUGCAAUCUCAGCAUUCUAGAGGUAAAGGCAGGAGGGUCAGUUCAAGGUCAUUCCCUGCGGCACACUUAGACUACAGGAGCCCUUGU